CAAAUUAGAGCUUGAUAAAGCAUUUUAGUUACAUUAAAAAGAUAGUUUAAUAUAAACUUAAUUUGA
rnacentral:tRNA from 1 species